UACGGGGGGGGGCAAGCGUUGUUCGGAAUUACUGGGCGUAAAGGGCUCGUAGGUGGCCAACUAAGUCAGACGUGAAAUCCCUCGGCUUAACCGGGGAACUGCGUCUGAUACUGGAUGGCUUGAGUUUGGGAGAGGGAUGCGGAAUUCCAGGUGUAGCGGUGAAAUGCGUAGAUAUCUGGAGGAACACCGGUGGCGAAGGCGGCAUCCUGGACCAAUACUGACGCUGAGGAGCGAAAGCGUGGGGAGCGAUCCGG
rnacentral:rRNA from 1 species